ACAAAAAAACAACAACACAUUUUCUUCUUAUUUUCAAUGCAAAACCUGUGCAUGUAUUUUCUUGAGUUGCAAUAAAAACUAGCCCAUAUAAAAACACGGGGGAAUGUAAACACUGACAUUUUGCAUAGCGAACACAUGUUUGCGACACCUAUUAAUAUUUUAUUAAAAAAUCCAAAAACAAAAACAAAAACAAAAAACCCGGUAAAUUCUGGUGAGCUUAGAUGAAACUGGCCUUUUCUUUUCAUGAUAAAAAUACACAGACUGACAAUAAUUGCAUAGCGCAUGAAAAAUUAUAUAAACAAAAUCAUUAACUUCCAAAAACGAUUGCAUCAGCACAUCAAGCAUAGUAUUAGAAGGUGUGACAUUGCAUUUUAAAUUUUACAUGUAGAUUUGUAAUGCAAAUCUUAAUUUAAAGUGUAGGGGGCCUACUGAGUUUAACCGUUUUAUUGAGUCUUAUAGGGUGCAUUCGAGUAGCGUCCCCGUGUAUACAAGGGGAUCAUUCUCGUGGAAGUCAUAAUUAAGGUCAAAGGCUGUUAAUUGGCAGGAAUUUAAAAUGUACACACAUCAGGCAUACCUGUCGUAUGCUUCACUGGUAAAAUUAGUUUUAUCAUUGCAGCCAGAUCGAUAAUUGCUGGAAAUGGAGGAUAUGCUCUGAAUCAUAAACACAAAGGUGUCCAUCCAAUUGAACACCGUCAAUAAUUGGGAAUUUUGUGUCAUCAAUCUCUCCAUUAUAUGCAGUUAGUAAUCAAAUUUUGGCCAUCUUCAAUCUAAUUAGCCACGGACCCAUCUGGUUACAUUGUUACAUCCGGGCAGCUACCACAGACCCGCGAUCGCAAGCUGGGACAUUGAUGGUUGACACCGCGGGGCAGACACAGGGAUCACAUGACGGCUAAUAGCACGCUCUCAUACAAACUUACCAGUUACCACGACUCACGAAGCAUGAUUGCCUGUGAUAACUGUGACAUGUGGUACCACUACACUUGCAUUAACCUAGAACCGCAAACAAGACGCAAGUCAUACAUGGAUAAAGGUACCUUUGCAGCCCACAAGCCCCCCC